rnacentral:rRNA from 1 species
GACGAACGCUGGCGGCGUGCUUAACACAUGCAAGUCGAACGGAAAGGCCCCUUUGGGGGUACUCGAGUGGCGAACGGGUGAGUAACACGUGAGUAACCUGCCCUUGACUUCGGGAUAACUUCAGGAAACUGGGGCUAAUACCGGAUAGGAAUCCUUGCUGCAUGGUGGGGGUUGGAAAGCUUCGGCGGUUUUGGAUGGACUCGCGGCUUAUCAGCUUGUUGGUGGGGUAGUGGCUUACCAAGGCUUUGACGGGUAGCCGGCCUGAGAGGGCGACCGGCCACAUUGGGACUGAGAUACGGCCCAGACUCCUACGGGAGGCAGCAGUGGGGAAUAUUGCACAAUGGGCGGAAGCCUGAUGCAGCAACGCCGCGUGCGGGAUGACGGCCUUCGGGUUGUAAACCGCUUUCAGCAGGGGCGAAGCUUGUGGUGACGGUACCUGCAGAAGAAGCACGGCUAACUACGUG